rnacentral:rRNA from 1 species
CCUACGGGUGGCAGCAGUGAGGGAUAUUGGUCAAUGGGGGAAACCCUGAACCAGCAACGCCGCGUGAGGGAAGACGGUUUUCGGAUUGGAAACCUCUGUCCGCUGGGAAGAUAAUGACGGUAGCAGAGGAGGAAGCGCCGGCGAACUACGUGACAGCAGCCGCGGUAAGUCGUAGGGAGCAAGCCUUGUCCGGAUUUACUGGGUGUAAAGGGGGCGUAGGCGGCCCUGCAAGUCAGAAGUGAAAUCCAUGGGCUUCACCCGUGAACUGCCGUUGAAACUGUAGGGCUUGAGUGAAGUAGAGGCAUGCGGAAUGCCCGGUGUAGCGGUGAAAUGCGUAGAGAUCGCGCAGAACCCCAGUGGCGAAGGCAGCCUGCUGGGCUUUAACUGACGCUGAAGCACGAAAGCGUGGGUAGCAAACAGGAUUAGAUACCCCGGUAGUC